rnacentral:misc_RNA from 1 species
GUCCAGUCAAUAUUCGUCCAAGAUAAAAGUCCCGUUCCAUCAUAGAGACCAGCAUCUGAAAAGGUUCAUCAAGUUUUGCUGCUGGAGGAGGAACAUGUCUUAUAAUGGCAUCAAGCAACUGCGACAUAUUUCUCAAUUCGCCAGGAGGAUCUUUAGUGAAAGUGUCAGAAGCCCACCCUUCUUUAGCAGAAGCAUAAAGGACAGGAAAGUCCAACUGCUCCUCUGCAGCGCCCAGAUUUGCAAAUAGAUCAAAUACCAAGCUCUCAACUUCAUUACACCUCUCUUCAGAUACUGAUGGUCG